UGUCGUUUGUGUAACAGUAAAAUUAUCAAAUUAUCAAACUAUCAAUCAAGAAAUAUUUAAUCUCUCUAUCCUUCUUCUUCCUCGUUCUUCUCAAUCCUUCUGAUUCUCAUCAAUUUCUUUUAUAUCUCUAUCAUUUCUGUGUUAAAUCUGAUAAGCUGAAUCAUGAGUUUAUCCCAUUACUGCCUAAGAAUUGAAUCAGUUCAACCAAGGAUCAGUCUAGAAGUGGCAGUGACUUCCAUUACCAGGUAUAACUUUGCUUUUCGUUUAAUUCCCAGAUGGACUUGUCUUUGAUUACAUUCUGGUGAAUCUAUGCCACUCAAAUGGAUUCUUUCUGAAAAAGGAGAAGCCACAGCAGCUUCAUCGCACAGAGGCAGAUCCAUGUAGCGAAUAGGCAGAUGACCAUGAGGAAUACCAGACAUAGUUUCAGUUGAAACGAUUUCCUCAUCAGAAAGUCUACAGGAGAAGAAGCAUGACUUUUCCGGACUGAUAGCAAGACCAGACAGAGCACUUUAAGAAUCCCUUGGAUUGAAUCAGCAGAGCCAUCUGAGAAGAUCGUCAGCGAAACACAGGAUUAUUCUAGGAAGGAGGGAUUUCAACUUAGCAACCAGGAGUUUUGAAACCAGCUUGUAAAGAGUAUUGCAGCAAGAGAUUUUCUGUAAAUCUUUAAUGAUUGUUGCGCCUUGUAUGAUAAGGGCCGGAAAUGUUGAAAGUUACUUAUAUUUACAAUAUUACAUCAGGUUGUAAACUAAAAUACUUGUAUUUACAAUAUUGCAUCAGGUAAUAAACUAAAAUAAAUUGGUUUUAA